GGUUUUAGCACGGAUUUGCAUGAAUGUGUGUGUGUAUUCUGCAUGUCCUCCAGCUGGCGCAGGUCCAGCUCUCUCCAUGCUUCCAGAAGCUUCCUGGCGAAGCUUCAGGACCCCUGGAGGCUGAGGGAGGGUGUCCCUGCGGCUGUGAAAUCCUCUGCUCCCCGACUUCUGCCUGCACACCCAGCCCUGGGCCUGCCCGCAUGGGGAGGAGAGAAGGCCCAGGCUGCCCGGGAUGGGUUCCCAGCCACCCCUGCCCCUCGCUCCUGACCGCAUUCUGCCUGUCAUGGCCCAGGACCUCUGGCUCUGUGCCUGGGGAGCAGCUGCACCCCCCUUACUCUUGGGGGCUUGGCCCACGCCCACUUCAAGCUGCUGCCCAGGCCCAUGGAGCAAGCAGCUCCGUCUGAAAAAGCAAGAGGAUACGAGAGAGCAGCUGGAGAACAGCAGCCUGGGAGGUCUGACCAGGCCUAGGACACCAGGAGAACAUGGCAGCUGUGUCACAGGUGCAGGACCCUCUCAGGCUCCCUCCCAGCUGCCAGGAGGCCCUGGUAAGGCAGACUCGGCACCAGCGAGCAUGAGAGCCCUGAACCAGCCAAGAUCCGUGAAGCGCAGCCAGUCGAGGGCCGCAGGGCGAGUGUGGCCAGGGCCUCCUAGGCGGCCCAGAGCCUGCAGGCAGGGGUCCCAGGCUUCACGGGGGUGGGUGGGAGAGGCCGAGGAGCCGUCGGGCCCCAGGCCAGUCUAGGUUUGGGGAGCCAAGCUGGCCCGAGCAGAGCCAGGAACGUUGGAGUCUCGCUUGGAGGAUGCAGGUGACGCUUUCUUUUUAUCUUCUAUCUGGUGCUUUAUACUUGGAAUCAGGUGUGAGGUCCGCCAAAAUCUGGCACUGUUUUAUGGGGAGGGUUCUCGAAGUUGCCCAGUGCUGUGUCUGCACAGGGAGGCUCCUACAGGAAGUGCAUGUGAAGGAGGAAAACGCAUGCGGGGGAAGGAGUCCAGUGCCACGGCAAUGGCAAACUGUGUUCCCCGAAAAGAUCCAUUCAAGCGUGAGCCCCAGGACCUGGGAAUGUGAAUUUAUUGGAAAAUAGGGCUUUGGCAGAUGUGAUUAAGGAUGCCAAGAUGAGAGCAUCCUGGGAUGAGGGUGGGCCUCAAUCCAAGGAGAGGCGUCCUUAUAAAAGAAAGUGGGGUGAGACCCAUAGGAGCAGGGAAGACAGGCAGGGAUGGGAGUGAUGUGGCCACAGGCCAAGGACUGCCGGCAACACCGGAUGAGCGAGUGUGAGCAUGUGUGAUUGUGCAUGCAUGUGUGAAUGUGUGUGCAUGUGUGUGUAUGUGUGUGCAUGUGUGAUUGUGCAUGUAUGUGUGAAUGUGUGCGUGUGUAUGUGUGAUUGUGCAUGUAUGUGUGAAUGUGUGUAUGUGUGUGCAUGUGUGAUUGUGCAUGUGUGCAUGUGUGAUGGUGCAUGUAUGUGUGCAUGUGUGUAUGAGUGUGUGCAUGUGUGACUGCAUGUAUGUGUGAAUGUGUGUGCAUGCGUGUGUGCAUGUGUGUGCAUGUGUGUGAGUGUGUGCAUGUGUGACUGCAUGUAUGUGUGAAUGUGUGUGCAUGCGUGUGUGCAUGUGUGAAAGUGUGCGUGUGUGCACGUGUGUGAGCAUGUGUGGUUGUGCAUGUGUGUCAACAUGUGUGAAUGUGAGCAUGUGUGUAUGUGUGUGCAUGUGUGAACCUGUGUGCAUGCCUGUGUGUGGGCAUGUGUGAUUGUGCACGUGUGUGAGCAUGUGUGUGUGUGAAUGUGUGUAUAAGCAUGUGUGAUUGUGCAUGUGUGUGAACGUGUGUGAGUGUGUGUGUGCGUGCACGUUAGCAGGAGCCUCUGGGGAUCAGGAAGCAGGCACGGAGCAGCCCCUCCCUCCAAGCCUGCAAAGCAAGCGGCCCUGCUGAUCCCUCUGGGACCGAAGGAGAAUAAAAUUCUCCCCUCAGUUUGCGGCA
rnacentral:lncRNA from 13 species